GCGCUCGUGGCGGAAUUGGCAGACGCGCUAGAUUCAGGUUCUAGUGGGUAUCCCCCAUGGGAGUUCAAAUCUCCCCGAGCGCACAA
rnacentral:tRNA from 1 species